UACGGGGGGGCAAGCGGUUGUUCGGAAUUACUGGGCGUAAAGGGCUCGUAGGCGGCCAACUAAGUCAGACGUGAAAUCCCUCGGACUUAACCGGGGAACUGCGUCUGAUACUGGAUGGCUUGAGUUUGGGAGAGGGAUGCGGAAUUCCAGGUGUAGCGGAUGAAAUGCGUAGAUAUCGAGAGGAACACCAGUGGCGAAGGCGAGUCUCUGGACAACACCUGACACUGAGGCACGAAAGCUAGGGGAGCAAACAGGA
rnacentral:rRNA from 1 species